CGCUCUCGGCUGCCGCCGGCUCUCCGCCCGCCAGAGCGCUCAGCCCGCGAUCUCCUUCCCUCGAUCGCCGUGCGAGCGAUUCUCCCUCCCUCUAAUGCAGGAAAUGCGCAAAAGACGUCAGUCUGUGUGAGUGUGUGUGUGUGUGUGUGUGUGUGUGUGUGUGUGUGUGUGUGUGUGUGUGUGCACGCGCGCGCGCGCGCGACAGUGUUUGGGGAAAUAGAAAGUUUUGCCGGUUGGGGGAGCAAUACGGGAAAAGUGAGCUGAGCAGAAAACAGCAGCGAGCCGGCCAGCCCGGUCCGGUGGCGGCGACGCACGGGGGAGCUGAGGGAGGACUCGGCGAGGGUCCCAGGAAGGUGGCGGCGCUGGGAUGCGGGGGCGAGUGUCGCAGGCCGAAUCUGUGCGCCUCUGGUCCCGACUGGGAGAGCCGGGUCUGCACCCCGAGAGCAGGGAGGCCGCGCAUUUCUCGCGCACUCUGCUGCCAACACUAUCUUUUAGAGCCGGGGCUGGAGGAAUGGAGGGGGUCGCAAUGUCCCAGAAGACACAGCACCUUUCCCCACUCUGCCUGGACGGCGGCGGUCACCAGCCGCCCGUGGUAGAGCUGGCCUGGCUGUCACUCUGUCCCGGGAUUCUCUACUGUGCCGCGGUGGGGGAGGGGGGACCCGGACUGUUGAGCUCUUUUGCUGGGUGUGAGUUUUGAAACCUAAUUUUCCUCUUCCUUCUCCUUGGGGAGAUUCUCCCCUCUGGGGAUCUGUCCCGGACUUGCUCCGAUUGCGAGAACUUGUUGACAAGUGGAAGCCUGGUAGAACCCCGGCCCGGCUCGGUUCGAGUGUCUGUUUACUUCUCAAAGUGACUCCUCCUACACAUGCGGGACCUCGCGUGUGCCCCUGAAGGGGACGAGGCUCGGAUCCACGAGCUGACAGCGGGCGCCCGGGCUGCGGGAAAGCCGGCUGCGCCCUCCUGGGGGCCGGUGGCUGUAUCCAUGCUAAUUUCCUCCGUAACCUUUAAACUCUCUCUGGAAGCGGCGGCGGCGGCGGCUGGUCACGUGAGGCGAGCCCUAGGCUGCUAGGGAAGAAUUUCCUCCGCCUGGGAUCGGCACCGGGGAAGGCGGCGGGCGGGAGACAGCCCUGAGCCGAGGGGACUGGGAACCUAGGAGGGCCGGGAGGAGUGCACCAGGCCCCGGGAGUCGAACAGCGGGAACUUCCAGUCUGCGCCCGGGAAGGGGCUGGUCCAGCAGCUCCGGGCUGUGUGAGUGGAAAAAGAAAACCUCCGCCCUCACUCGUGUGCCAAGGCAAGUCCGGCUGUUUGUAGGGAUCGUGAAAAGCUGGGUGUUUAUCUGGCAACUCUGAUAAGUGUAGACCAAAAUGUACAAACUGCAUCCCGUCCACUUUUUCCUCUGUGAAAAAGGGUUAUCAUUCCCUGUGGCUUAAAGACGAGGCAAGAGGCAGUCUCCAGGAACGCCAUAUCAAGUGCAGUACAACCCCCCGCCCCCCCCCCCCGCCCGGGCCCCGACACACACACACAAAAAGAGCUCAGGAGUUUCACUGGCAUCCAGCAGAUCUCCCAAAGUCGAAACCUGCAGUCAUGCCCCCCCCCCCCAAUUUACCGAUAUUAGCUGGAGACGGUCCUGUUGCAUGGGAUAACUUGGUGUGCAGAUAGUGCUAAAAAUGCAGCCUUGGGGACGAUUAUGGUCUUAAGAUCAUUAACGCUUAAAAACAAUAAUAAUUUAAAAACUUCCUUUCAGGACAUGCAGUAUAAAAAAAAGUAAUGGUAAAUGAGAAUGUAUCUUCAGAAUGUGUGUUUAGGAAGCAGGCCGCGUGCUAAAAAAAACCAAAAAAAAAAAAAAAAAAAAAAAAAAAAAAAAAAAAAAAAACGAAAAAAAAAACCGAUUCUAAGCUUAAAGAAUACCAAAAACCUCAUUAAGCAAGAGUAUUUAAGUCAUUUUUUUAAGUAAAAGGUAAUAUGAAUUUCCAGGAUGAACAGAAUAUGCCAUUUUUAGAUCAUUUUAAAUAGUUCAAAAAGUACAAUUUGCUUUACUUAGUUUAUUGCCACUCAUUAAGCUUUUUGCCUAAAUGGAAUGUUUCAUUUGCCCUACCCUAGUCCUGGGCCUGGUAGGCAGUCAGCAAGUCAAGGAUUGCUUAAACUUAGAGAUCCUGGCUUAACUAGUUAGUUGGUGUUUCUGAUUUAACUAGUUGGUGUUUCCCACUGUCUUGCUAAUUUUAUUCAUCAGACCCUAUCUGACACGCAAAUAGAACUGGUCUAAAUCCCUUCCUUGGGGCAUAUUAAACAAGAAAUAAGUUUGGAAUUAAAGAAACACUGAAUUUGAACUUUUGGUAUAACUUACCCCCUCCCCUUCUCUCUCCUCCCACACCCUGCUUCCUGCAGGCGAACAUAUUAAAGACUUAAAAUACAGGAGUCUUUUGCCAUCUCUAUGACUAUCUUAAAACAGAUAAGCUGCAUGCUUCCAAUACUGUUACCCUGCAUCCUGGUUAAGAUUAUAGGAGGAAAAAAAAGUGCCUGUCUCUUAAGAGACUAUCCAUGUACACAAUCAGACUGCCAUUCUCGAGGGUAAACAAUAUUAGUCUGCUUUCAAUUACAGGUCUUUUGCAUGGGGAAUACAAAACACUUGGCCAAAAAAAAAAAAAAUGCCAGUAGUAUAUUGGAUGAAGCUUUAUAUUAAAAGGGAGAAUGCUGGUGCUCUCCACAAAAGCAAUUGCUCUCAUUACAUCCUUAUUCUUAAAUAAAUCUCCCACCUUCCCACUCUCCAGCUUAGCCACAGGAAGAUUCCCCAGGGACAUUAUGAAUAUGUGUGACAGUAGCUUGUCAAAGCACCCCUCCCCCACCCUGAUUUCAAAACAGGGUCUCACUUUGUAGCUCUGGCUGGUCUGGAACUCUGGCUGGCCCUGACCUCCUGGAGAUCUUCCUGCCUCUGCCUCCUAAGUGCUGAGAUCAAAGGCAUGCGCCACUACAAUAUAAGGGAGCAUUAUUAAAUUUACCUGGAGGGAAGAUUCAUCUAAAAUAACCCGCUUCAGACUCCAGAUGAAAAGGAAAACAGGCCCUUGCCAGCUAGGGCUUAGAAUGUAAACUUCUGAUCAUAAUUACUGCGUGGUUCAUCCUUCUCUUGGCUCUGUAUACAAAUGUAAAGGACAGGGAGGCAACUGUAUAUAUAGUGAGUAAAAUGCCCUUUUAGAUUGUAACAAUAGUCUCGUUAUUUCAUAAUCUUUGAGAGAGGGCAGAAGAGAGGAAGAACAAUGAUGUAAGAAUGUAACAAAGACGAUCAAGCUGGGGGCAUGGAGAAAGGACUAAUAGUACAGUGCGGCAAGUCUGCCCAGGGCCGCACAGUCCAUGUUGCAACAACAGUUCCAGGAAGAGGAGCAGCAUCCCUUGCCUGGGGGAGCUGAGGGAAGCAUCACUACCAGGCUCUUUGAGCCAGAAUUCCGUCAGCAGCAGACAGGGAAAGACAUGGGAGGCAAGGAGAACAGACCAUGAAGCAUGAGAGAAGGAGCGUCUAGCGUGGCUUGUUCAGGUAGGAACAGGAGACAAGGUGGGUAGGAACAGUUCCUAGGGCACGCAGAUGGCUUUAAACUUCUUCCUAGAGAGACCCUGAACAUUCUAGUGGUUGGGAAGUGUUGCUAGAAUAGAUUAUUUUAAAACACAGUUUAAUAUAACUUAAGGGUAUAACUCAGGGGUAGAGCCUUUCUCUAGUGUGUUUCAAGGGGGCCCUGGAUUCACUCCCUAGAACUCCAGUGGGGAGGCGCAGAGAGGACAGCAAAUGGAUGUUUUUCUCUUCUGUAACUUUGCCCCAGCAGACUCACCUCAAAAUGGGGUGCCAGAGAUUCACAACUGAAGAUGAUUUGCACUCGGCUCAAGAACGAAACCUUCAGUCACUCUGCAGGACCCAAAGACCCUGAAUGCCACACUGGAACCAAGACAAACUAAGGACACAGCCACAGAGCUGAGGGGACUUGUUUGCUUCUCUGCAGGAUGUGACAGAGAACUUUAUCUAUCUUUAUUGUUAGGAAUCUGGGACUAGAGGAAUCUGAGACUUGCCAAAAAAAAAAAAAAAAAAAAAAAAAAAAAAAAAAAAAAAAAAAAGACAACACCAGCAAAAGAAAAACACUCAUUAGAGGUCUAGACCCAAGUAUUAAACCUCCUAGUUAAAUUUACUGCUAAAUAAAUAAAUAAAUAAACAAGCAAACAUUGUCAUACUGAAACCAAUACAGCAUCGUUUAAUGAUGACAAUGUCAGUUACAUUUAAUUCCUUAGUAGCAAUAUUUCUGCAUAACCAAGGUCUGGGCUUAUCUUAAUUUAUUGAUUCUAAAUCAAACUGACCUUAUACCAGUAUAUUAUAAUUCUUGUAACAAAGUACUUAAUAUAUUAUGAUAACAAUAUACUUAUGCCAAAGGGACAAUGGAGUGCUUGUGUUGUUUUGGUGAUUAAAAGGCCUAAAACCAAGCCAGGUAGUGGUGGCACAUGCCUUUAAUCCCAGCACUUGGGAAGCAGAGGCAGUUGGAUCUCUGUGAGUUCGAGACAAGCCUGGUCUACAGAGUGAGUUCCAGGGCUACAUGGAGAAAAAUCUUGUGUUAAAAAACUGGAGGAGGGGGAAUCAAUCUCUCUCUCUCUCUCUCUCUCUCUCUCUCUCUCUCUCUCUCUCUCUCUCGUUCGAGACAGAGUCUCACUGUGCUCUGGCUGGUCCAGAACUCACAGAGUUCCUCCACCUCCUGACUCCUAACGCUGGGAGCCAAGGCAUGCACCGCCCUGCCCGGCACAGCCUUGUUACAGUUGUGCACCUUGACUCCUGACACGUCUAGGCACAUCAGUGUCGGCAUAUGGCUUCUGACACCUGUACAACUGCAACAGACGCUCCCGCUGGCUUCCCCGUCUCUAGCACACUCUGGAUGUCUAGCCGAUCCACUUCCCCUUUCUCACCUACCUUUCGGGAUCAACAAGGGCUCCAGGGCAGGGACUAUUGCUGCCCUGUCACUGAUGAGAAUCAGGCACAAUAAGUCUACUCACUCUGUUGCUAGACCUUCCCUUGGUAAAGGCCCUGGCCCUCCAUGGACAGGGCAUCCCUGUCCAAGCUGAAGCUGGAGCCCCCUUCUGGAACUCCCUAACACUUUCUCCUUUACCUCUUUAUUCAGAUAGAGUUAUUUGAUGCCUGUCUUAAUCUGCUACUUCACCAAAAAAAGAAAAGAAAAAAAAAAAAAAAGGUUUAAAAGUUCAGAGGCUCAAGCAUGACUCGUUUUUUUUGGAACUCCCAAGUAUCCUAAUGAUUCUUCUGUGAUAAUGCUACGGAUAGGGUUCUUUAGGGUGUCAAGAGUCAAACAAAAGGACUUUUUUGUAUUUCAAACAAAAGGACAUUUUUGUGUCGAUAAUGUUUGAUCUAAAAACAUUUAAA